UAUGCCUCGACCUGGACAUCUUCUUUAGGUGU
rnacentral:piRNA from 1 species